GUAGAAAGAGUCCAGAUUCUGGGAAGGUGGAAAGGGAGCAGGAGCAUCAUCAUUAAGAGGGUCAGGUACCUUUGCUCUUAUAUCAGAGGCUGUGGGCUCCCUACAG
ensembl:miRNA